rnacentral:tRNA from 1 species
CGGGACGUGGCGCAGUCUGGUAGCGCACCCGGCUGGGGGCCGGGCGGUCGCCGGUUCGAAUCCGGCCGUCCCGA